UCAUUGAUUUGUGAAGUGGGAGGAUCAGCCCCACGUUUUCUCUGGGAACAAAAUCUGACUGAAAGCUGUGUAUGUUCAACAACUUGCAGGGCGUCUGGUUUGAAAACAGGGUGAGAAUCCAACAGUGAAAUAUGAGAUGAAAGCCCCAGUCUGGAUGACAGAGCCAGAAAGCAGAUUGGGGAAGAAAUAACAGCCAAGACCUGGCCAUCCCAUCCUGACGGCAAGGCUUGAUGAGGGAUUAUCAGUGGAAAUGGUGGCUCAUGAGUUCUGGAUUGUAAUGGAGGAUUCCCUACUGAGAAUCAUGGAUCGAGAAGUAACCUAAAGCAGCUGUGGAGUUUACUUGUGCAACCACAAGAAUGCUGACAAAGUUAUCUCCAUCCUGUUUUGCUCAAAUUCCUUGACUAAACCAAACAUGGGCGGUGACAUGGUACGGAAAGUUCCCCCCUCCCCCAUAUGUUCUUGGAGUAUAUGGAUAGCCUGUAUUAUCUCCCCCUGCUUAACCUAAGAAGAAGCCCAUCCUUAUAACCAAUUAAUCAUGAAGCCUCAUGCUUCACCCAACAUAUGAACUGCUCACCUCCCUCAGCUGUUAUGUUAUUUUUGGCUCUCAACAAGAUUUAACAAACAAUGGUGUUUUAUAUUUUACCAUAGCUAUUUUGAAUGGGUAUCAAACUUUCCUGGAAGAAGGGAGCUUCUCAGAACAUGAGGAAGAUCUGAGGUCCACUUCAUUGGAGGGACCCUUUAAUAAAGUACUAUUGGCUCAGA